GUGCCAGCAGCCGCGGUAAGACGGAGGAGGCGAGCGUUGUUCGGAAUUAUUGGGCGUAAAGGGCGCGUAGGCGGAUCGGUAAGUCUGGCGUGAAAUCUCCACCGCUUAACGGGGAGAGGUCGCUGGAAACUACCGAUCUGGAGUUCGGCAGAGGACCAUGGAAUUCCAGGUGUAGCGGUGGAAUGCGUAGAUAUCUGGAAGAACACCGGUGGCGAAGGCGGUGGUCUGGGCCGAAACUGACGCUGAGGCGCGAAAGCCAGGGGAGCAAACGGGAUUAGAUACCCCCGUAGUCC
rnacentral:rRNA from 1 species